UUAUAAAUAGACCUCCUAUGCUACUCUUAAGUAUGCACCAAACUCUUUACAGCAACGGCUCAUCUUGGAGAUUAGCGAUUAGGUUUAAGAUCUAGGAAAAUGGCUUGCUUUUGGGAAGGAGAUGAUGACAAUUAUGUGAAUGGACCGAGAGGAUGUGGUGGAAUUACUGGAUGCGGUGGUGAUGGUGAUAAACCAAACCCUCCACCAGGAAGCUAUUAAUUAAUUAUUAUAAUCACUGAACGGAGAUCUAUCCAUCACUCAUCAUGAUGACAUGCAUGCAUGAGUUAGAGAAUAAUAUGAAUAAGUACCAUGGAUGAUGCAUCAUGCAUGGGGCAUGGGUGUUCUUCUUUAAGUAGUGGCUGUCAGUGUUCUGUGGGUCCAGUGUUUAUUAGCAUGCAGUAGUAGUGUACUGUGUCGAUGGAUUGUGAGCGGCUUGUUUGCUUGCUCUCGGUUAUCCUACAUGUUGUGUUAUAUUUUAGCACUUCAUCAGUAUCCAUGAUCUGAAUAAUAAUCGUGCUUUCAAGGUCCA